AACGUAGGAGACGAACGUUAUCCGGAAUUACUGGGCGUAAAGGGCUCGUAGGCGGCCAACUAAGUCGGAUGUGAAAUCCCCAGGCUCAACCUGGGAACUGCAUCCGAUACUGGAUGGCUUGAAUUCGGGAGAGGGAUGCAGAAUUCCAGGUGUAGCGGUGAAAUGCGUAGAUAUCUGGAGGAAUACCGGUGGCGAAGGCGGCAUCCUGGACCGACAUUGACGCUGAGGAGCGAAAGCCAGGGGAGCAAACGGG
rnacentral:rRNA from 1 species